rnacentral:rRNA from 1 species
AGUGAACGCUGGCGGUAGGCCUAACACAUGCAAGUCGAACGGCAGCACAGUAAGAGCUUGCUCUUACGGGUGGCGAGUGGCGGACGGGUGAGGAAUACAUCGGAAUCUACUUUUUCGUGGGGGAUAACGUAGGGAAACUUACGCUAAUACCGCAUACGACCUACGGGUGAAAGCAGGGGAUCUUCGGACCUUGCGCGAUUGAAUGAGCCGAUGUCGGAUUAGCUAGUUGGCGGGGUAAAGGCCCACCAAGGCGACGAUCCGUAGCUGGUCUGAGAGGAUGAUCAGCCACACUAGAACUGAGACACGGUCCAGACUCCUACGGGAGGCAGCAGUGGGGAAUAUUGGACAAUGGGCGCAAGCCUGAUCCAGCCAUACCGCGUGGGUGAAGAAGGCCUUCGGGUUGUAAAGCCCUUUUGUUGGGAAAGAAAAGCAGCAGGUUAAGACCCCGCUGUUCUGACGGUACCCAAAGAAUAAGCACCGGCUAACUUCGU